AGCAGCCGCGGUAAUUCCAGCUCCAAUAGCGUAUAUUAAAGUUGUUGCAGUUAAAAAGCUCGUAGUUGAAUUUCGGGGUUAGUACGCUGGUCAUGCCUUCGGUAUGUACUGGGUGUUACUGAUUCCUCCUUCCCGAUGAACCGUAAUGCCAUUAAUUUGGUGUUGCGGGGAGACUGGACUGUUACUUUGAAAAAAUUAGAGUGUUUAAAGCAGGCUAACGCUUGAAUACAUUAGCAUGGAAUAAUGAAAUAGGACGUUCGAUCCUAUUUUGUUGGUUUCUAGGAUUGACGUAAUGAUUAAUAGGGAUAGUUGGGGGCAUUAGUAUUCAAUUGUCAGAGGUGAAAUUCUUGGAUUUAUUGAAGACUAACUACUGCGAAAGCAUUUGCCAAGGAUGUUUUCAUUAAUCAAGAACGAAAGUUAGGGGAAUCGAAGACGAUCAGAUACCGUCGUAGUCUUAACCAUAAACUAUGCCGACUAGGGAUCGGAUGUAGGUUAAUUUUUAAUGUACUCAUUCGGCGCC
rnacentral:rRNA from 1 species